CCGACUACUCUGAACUCCAGUUCCAGGUGAGACUCUGGGGACCCAGACUCAUACGGGGAGAAACUGGACUGUCUGGCAGCAGGCAGA
rfam:Myotis lucifugus cont2.31482, whole genome shotgun sequence.